AGACCCCCUGUGCUGGGGUGCUUCUGCAGCAAUGGUCGGUGCUGCGGGGGCCUGGAGAAGUCGGGGGCUUCUCCCCGACAGAGCACCAGGGGUGCUUGGUAGGAGGUGGGGCGUUUCUCUGGGGUAUCAGGACUUGACCCAUCAGUGGGCCUUUGUCCGAUGAAGAGCAGGCUUUGCCCGAGGGGGUCUUGCUCCAUCUUGAAAAGCUCGUACUCCACGUGUGGGAGCCGGAUGCCCAGCGGCAGGCAGCCAUUGGUGGCUGUGACAUCCCGCUCAGUGCCCACGGACCAGGCCCCCGCACCCCCACAGCUGCGUGGCUCAGAGAAGUUAAGCAUGGCCGUGGUGACCUGGUCCAUGGGGGUUACAUGGGCCCGUGUAACCUCGAACACCAGCUCGGUGCCGCCGCGGACCCUGGUGGACGGCGUGCCCCUGGUGUAUCGGCCGGCGGCAUACACGGUGAAGGUGGGCUGCUGGCAGGCUGGGUCUGAGAAGUGAUGGUAAUACCCUUCCCAGGAGCGGCUGUGCCCGUGGAAAGUGAAGAGCCGGGUGAGGAACAGGACCGCUGGGCGCACCUCACAUCCCGAGCUGACCCACCAGCCGCCCCAGGGCGCGAGGGGCAGGGCCAGAGGGGCGGCAGCACGGGCGGGUGGUGCACAUCAGAGCGGGCAAUGAGGCCACAGGCUGGGCACGGCCGCACGUGGUGCUGGCGAAAGACAAACAGAAAAACGGUGGUUGUCCCACAGGGAGAAGUUGGGGUGCAGCCUGGAAAGGAACCCCAGCUCUGUAGGGGUGAAAAGGCAGAGUGAGGUGCGGCCUGUCCCUCCCUCCUCUCUCUCUCACUCCCUGCCUUCAGUCAGGACGGCCUUUUUGCUUCAGUCAGGAGGGCCUCCUUGAUGGAGGUCAGCCCCUGUAUCCUCGGGCCUUGGGUCUCCUGCUGUCUGAACUCCCCGCCAGCUCCUUCUUACUAGGUCUCUGCUGGGCACCAGAGAGAGCUUUCCCGAAUGCCCCAUGUAAGGUGGGGCUCAGGGCUGGCACACCACCCUCUUUUAUCUUCCUCAUUCCACCCCCUGAGACUCUCUUCUCUCUAUCCCUCGCCCCUCAUCAAACUGGAAGGCAUUAUGCCUUACAGUCCUAAAACGCCCUAGAAAGCGCGAACUGCCUCUGCGGCUACCCCAUCCCCACAGCACAGGGCUUGGCUCGCAGCAAGCACACAUUUGUUGCAUGAAUAAAUGAGAAAUGAAUGGAAGCACAGGUGGCCUUCGUCUUGGGACCUGACAGAAGUUGUCCUUGCUCAAGCCCAGUGUGCUUGGUCCUGGAAUUUGACCGUGAAAGUUGAUCUUUUUUCUAGCUCACUCUUCUAGGUGUUUCCGAAGUGCCAGGAACUAUGCUAAGCACUUCCCGGGCAACUGGUACGUGUUAUAGCUGAGGGAGCUGAGACCCAGAGGACCGGCUGGACUGCCCAGGUUGUCCGGCCUGGAAGUGGCAGAGACCAGCUGAAAUGCAGCCUGGCUUGCACCCGGCUGUCUGAGCUCCCACUCUCCUGUGCUCAUAGCAGGUUACAUCUUCCCUACAGGUAGAGAAUAGAGGAUUUUUGUCUUUAGAAAUCUCACAGUGGAAGGUGCACAUCAUUUGCUCUACCUACCCCAUGGAAAGUGAAUAUGGCAACAAGGAUCAAAAGCCAUCAAAACAUGUCUGAGCCGAGCGUGGUGGCUCACACCUAUAAUCCCAGCACUUUGGGAGGCUGAGGUGGGCAGAUCACUUGAGAUCAGGAGUUCAAGACCAGCCUGGCCAACACGGUGAAAACCCACCAGAAAUACAAAAAUUAGCCAGGUGUGGCAGCACAUGCCUGUAAUCCCAGCGACUCGGGAGGCUGAGGC
rnacentral:lncRNA from 1 species